rnacentral:rRNA from 1 species
AGGUGCGAUUAUACCAGCAUUAAUACACCGGAUAUCAUCUGAACUUCGCAGUUAAACGUGUUUAUGCGAGAGUAGUACUAGGAUGAAUGAUCUUCUAGGAAGUCCUUGUGUUGCACUUU